AGUGAAUAGAUACCCGGGUAGUCCUAGCCUUAAACGAUGCUGACUUGGUGUCCCCGGGUUUUUAGUCCCGGGUGCCGGAGCUAAACGCGUUAAAGUCAGCCGCCUGGGGAGUACGGUCGCAAGGCUGAAACUCAAAGGAAAUUGACGGGACCCGCACAAGCGGUGGAGCAUGUGGUUUAAUUCGACGCAACGCGAAGAACCUUACCUGGGCUAGAAUGCGGCGGAUAAGCCCCAGAGAUGGGGCGAUCCGGGUAACCGGCUCCUGCCUGCAAGGUGCUGCAUGGCUGUCGUCAGCUCGUGUCGUGAGAUGUUGGGUUAAGUCCCCGCAACGAGCGCAACCCUUACCGUGAGUUUACCAUCAUUCAGUUGGGGACUCUCGCGGAACUGCCGGUGAUAAACCCGGAGAAGGUGGGGAUGACGUCAAGUCCUCAUGGCCUUUAUGUCCCA
rnacentral:rRNA from 1 species